rnacentral:rRNA from 1 species
GACGAACGCUGGCGGCGUGCCUAAUACAUGCAAGUUGAGCGAUGAAGAUUGGUGCUUGCACCAAUUUGAAGAGCAGCGAACGGGUGAGUAACGCGUGGGGAAUCUGCCUUUGAGCGGGGGACAACAUUUGGAAACGAAUGCUAAUACCGCAUAACAACUUUAAACAUAAGUUUUAAGUUUGAAAGAUGCAAUUGCAUCACUCAAAGAUGAUCCCGCGUUGUAUUAGCUAGUUGGUGAGGUAAAGGCUCACCAAGGCGAUGAUACAUAGCCGACCUGAGAGGGUGAUCGGCCACAUUGGGACUGAGACACGGCCCAAACGCCUACGGGAGGCAGCAGUUGGGAAUCUUCGGCAAUGGACGAAAGUCUGACCGAGCAACGCCGCGUGAGUGAAGAAGGUUUUCGGAUCGUAAAACUCUGUUGGUAGAGAAGAACGUUGGUGAGAGUGGAAAGCUCAUCAAGUGACGGUAACUACCCAGAAAGGGACGGCUAACUACGUG